UGAGGGAUAUUGCGCAAUGGGGGAAACCCUGACGCAGCGACGCCGCGUGGGUGAUGAAGGCCUUCGGGUCGUAAAACCCUUUUGCCACUGACGAGGAAGGACGGUAGGUGGCGAAUAAGCCUCGGCUAACUACGUGCCAGCAGCCGCGGUAAAACGUAGGAGGCGAGCGUUAUCCGGAGUUACUGGGCGUAAAGCGCGCGCAGGCGGUCCGUUAAGUCGGGCGUGAAAGCCCCAUGCUAAACGUGGGGAGGACGAACGAUACUGACGGACUGGAGUAGAGCAGAGGGACAUGGAAUUCCGGGUGUAGCGGUGAAAUGUGCAGAUAUCCGGAGGAACACCAGAGGUGAAAACGGUGUCCUGGGCUCAUACUGACGCUGAGGCGCGAAAGCGUGGGGAGCGA
rnacentral:rRNA from 1 species